rnacentral:rRNA from 1 species
CCCUUAGAUGUUCUGGGCCGCACACGCGCUACACUGAAGGAGGCAGCGUGUGCUCCUGGAUCGAAAGAUUUGGGUAACCCGCGAAUCUCCUUCGUGCUAGGGAUUGAGGUUUGCAAUUAUCCUUCAUGAACGAGGAAUUCCCAGUAAGUGCAAGUCAUAAGCUUGCGCUGACUACGUCCCUGCCCUUUGUACACACCGCCCGUCGCUACUACCGAUUGAAUGAUUUAGUGAGGACUUCGGACUGGGACCGAUGCGGCUUUCGGGCUGCGUCGGUAUUCUGGAAAGAUGUCCAAACUGUAUCAUUUAGAGGAAGUAAAAGUCGUAACA